AUGCUCAGCCCCAGAGAACUGUUGGUUACCUCUAUAUCCAAACACCUUGCUGUGUCCAAUCUCCAAGGCUGGGCAGACCUCCCAGAUGACCUGCUACACUCAAUUGUUGCUAUCUUGGGCUCCUCCGUUGACCUUCUUGCCUUUGCUGCCACCUGCCGCCCUUGGCGUGCCGCUUUCUUCUCAUACCCAUCCAAAUCUACCUUCUGCUUCUCAAACCCCCCUUUCCUCAUCCGACAAAACCCCUGCAUCCAACCUGCUAGCAAUGGUCGUGCCAAGCCACAUAGAUUAAUCUUUGUUGAUCCAUCCAACCCAAGCACCAACUAUCGCUGCCAGAUACGUGAAGAAAUUCUGCAGAGCAAAUUUUAUUUUGCUGGUUCUUCCUAUGGUCAGCUCAUCCUCUUCCAGCACAUACAUUGUCUUGUUGUUGAUGCAUUUAGUGGUGCAGAAGUUUCACCUCCAUGUCUCCCUGAGUUGAACCACGAUUUCUUUCAGUCGUACUAUUGUAGCACUCUGACUGCUCCCCUUGCAUCACCCAGCUCACGCCUCCUUGUCAGCACAAAAUCCUCCCUAUUUGACUGGCCAGUUGGAAGUGACUCUUGGUCUGAACUCAAGCUUUCCAAUGUGCAAGUACAGCAGAUUGUGGAAUUAAAUGGUCAGUUCAUUGCCAUGGAUGAUCAUAUGAAGAUCUACAUUUUGCAGUUGGCACCCCAGCUUGGCCUGCAAGAACUACCAAUAGAGUGGUGCGGCGGCAAGAUCCCAAGCAUGCAUUCGAAACCAUUUCUUGUGGUCUGUAGCGAUAUGCUUCUGAUGGUUUGCUAUUCUCUAUUAAGCUCAUUCUAUAGUUCAGGCUUCUGUACACUCCACCGCCUUGACAUGUCUACCAAUCCAGCAAAAUGGGUAGAGAUGAAGAAGCUGGACAAUUGGGCACUCUUCGUUGCAGCUGACAUUAGGACCCCACCAUUUUCCUGUGUUAACCCAGAACGGUGGGGAGGGAGAAGCAACUGCUUGUACUACACUCACCACUCUCAACCUUGGGGUGUACGAUGGUUGGGCAAUGAGCCGGAUCUUAUGAAGGAUCCAUCCGCCAGUCGGGACCUUGUGUUCGCAAGAAAUAUGUUUCGUUACCCACAGAACCUCUGGGUGUACCCCAGCAUGUUUUACUCUGCUGGGAAGUGA
rnacentral:rRNA from 1 species